GGGCUACACACGUACUACAAUGGUAGGGACAGAGGGCUGCAAGCCGGCGACGGUAAGCCAAUCCCAGAAACCCUAUCUCAGUCCGGAUUGGAGUCUGCAACUCGACUCCAUGAAGUCGGAAUCGCUAGUAAUCGCAGAUCAGCAUUGCUGCGGUGAAUACGUUCCCGGGCCUUGUACACACCGGCCCGUCACACCAUGGGAGUUUGUUGCACCAGAAGCAGGUAGCUUAACCUUCGGGAGGGCGCUUGCCACGGUGUGGCCGAUGACUGGGGUGAAGUCGUAACAAGGUAGCCGUAUCGGAAGGUGCGGUUGGAUCACCUCC
rnacentral:rRNA from 1 species